ensembl:lncRNA
GAAUUAGCGUCCCCAAGUACAGGUCGACCAAGACAAAGGCAAAAUAAACGGGCAGACAAAGGGGCUGUGUGGGAACCGAGCCGCCCAGCUCUGCUCUGCCACACAGCUCCGUGCCCACUGCCACUGCAGCGGUGCAGAGGAGCAGCACUGCUUCACUUCUGCCUUUGAAACCACAGCAAGCACGAUGCAAACCAAACCACGGGUACCGAAGAUGUCCAAAGAGGCAGGCUGACUCUCCUGCCCUCGAAGACAGGUUUGGCUCCACGAGCAGAGCAGAGGGAAUCGUUUUUAACUGGUUUAAACUAUGAUGGACUCAAGUGGAAAACGCAAGGAGAGUUAGCGAGGAGCAUAAUUGACUGGGCAUGGAACUCAGUAACCUCUCAGCACGCUGGAAGUGGUGGAGCAGAGGGGUUACGGCCAGGGCUGCUCCGCACCCACAGCCCUUUCUUCCCAAAGUGAACUCCGCCAGCAGCCAAAGACGGCAAUGACAACAAAAGUGUCAUGCCACAUUAUCAUCUUGCCGGCUCACACACUCCUGCCUGACAAGUUCUCUCUGCCCCUUGUGACAACCAUUCCAGGCUUAUGCUGUUUAUUUUUGGUGUCAGGCUGGCCCUGGCAGAUUGAAAGGCAACCUCAACCCCUUGAACAACAAGCACCACACCCCACUUGGCGAUAAGAGAUGAUUUGAGAAGAUAUUUGCUUACAUGUGUAUAAGCAAUUUGCUGUAUGAUGAAGCCCCGGUGUGCCUGUGUGAACGCACACGUAUGUGUGCAAAGGGGAAGGAACUGCAGAAGCGUAACAUUUCAUGAGAAAACAAACAAUUCAUUGCGGAUCCCAGGUAGCAGGCUUCAAUCAUCACAUCCCAUCGUACACACAGAACGUGAAACGUGGGCCACAAAGGCACCACGGGUGCUCCCCACAAAGAGAAACAACAGCUAAGCUCGGUCUGUCCCUGCAAAACAGCCUCGCUGUGUCCCUGCAGAGCGCUGUGAGAUGCAGCGGCAGAGGCACCCCAUAGGAGGAAUGGGGACAAAACACGACAGUUCACUGCAGAAACACGCUAGGGCCAGAUUCAUCUCUGCUGUCAUGGAGUCAAUUUGGAACAGCACUGUUGUCAUUGAAUUACUUGGGACUGCCUGCAAUUGGAAUCACAGAACCUUGUCUUCAAGUAGCAGGCUGCGUGCAUCAUGGAGACUUCCUUUUAACUAUCCAAUUUUUACAGCCUGUACAUAAGCAGGACUAUGUCUACAGCUAGGGUUUCUUGGUGUAAGCACAAUUAAAGCUGAUAGUAAUUACAAAAGUAUGUAUUACAUUUGUUUUUAACGCUAAACUUAAGAAUACGGCAGUAUUUGUUUUAUGUUUACUUGGCUGGUUGAGGUGGUGGUGGUAGAGCAGGGCUUCUCUCCACUCCGAGUCAGGGAUAGCAUCCCACCCUCCCACCUCACCAGGCACAGAACAAGCUGCUCCUGGACCAACUGUUCCAUUGCUACCUGUCAGGAGGAAAGCUGCAGGGAAUCGGACAUGAUGUCCGGGUAGCAGCAGCAUGAAGGAGAAAUGAAGGAGCAGGAUGGCAGAUCAACACAGAUUUCAUAUUUACUAUCCAGCCCAGUUAUUGUAGGCUGUGCCUACAGCUGUGCAUUUGAUUUAGUUUACAGGCACUGCUUCAGCCCUGGUAAGAGGUGGGAGUGUGCUUCACCGCGGCAUUUACACAGAUCACAACGUAAACAAAACUUGACCCAACACCUUUUAUGUUAUCUCAGAGAAAGAAUCAUAAACUGAGCAAAAUCCACACCAUUAACUCCAGUGCAGUCUUUGAUCAAAUCGGGAGCUAAAAGGAAAACAGAUUUCCUUAAAAACAAACUAACAAAGCAGUAUGUGCAUUUCAUUUUUAAUCCACUUUCUAGCAACCGCACCAUAGAAAGGCAGAGGCUCACAACAGCAAUGCAUCUGAACACGAAAUAUGGCCAUCCCAAGGCACACUAAUGGCAUCCACAGCGCUGGUAAGAGGGAGCACGGAUGUUUUUACAACUGUAGGAUGGGGAGAAUUACUGUUGAUUAUGGAGCAGCAAUGAAAUGCCACAGUUGUGAGUGAUAAACACAGCAAAUGCUACAGGGGGUCCUCCUGGAAAAGGAAAAAAGGGGAACGUCUCGUCAUGCAGAAAAAUAUCCCAGGAAAAAAGGAUGGAGGUGACGCCUGCGUGGCUGUUACCAACCACGGGCUUCAUUCUGCCCCCAGCUGCACACGUGCAACCCAUCACCAGCGAAUGGAGACGGACUCCCAUUGCAGCAGAACACUGCACAGCCGCUUUGCCCUACAGGAAACACCAUAUGCAUGUCAGCCAGCAGAACCUUCUUACUUCUUCUCGUUAGUACUGUGCAUACGCAACCAGAUGCAAAUAUAUACACUUGCAUGCAUUGCUACUGCCACAUAACCCAGCCUGGGAUAUCCCAUUCCCAAACACCUGAGUACCUACACAGCUCUUCAUGGGUGCAAAGCCUCCAGGACUGCAGCAAUGAAACAGCGGAACAGAACUCACAUUGCCUGCGAGGCCCAUCUAUUCAUCUCUGCCCACAAGACUCCCUCGCACCACUGCAUGCUUUUUAUACUUCAUUAAAGCAAAUCACUGAUGUUCUUCAGCUGACAAACAUCCCCGGAAAGGAUGCAAAGAGCGGCAAGAAUUCGGCUUUGGCAAGCAGAUCUAUUUUCAUCUUACAUUUACAGUUGCUUGUGCAUAUCUAUAUAUCCAUCUGCAUCCCUAUCUUCAUAAAAACCUAACUGCAACAAAAUAAAUGAUAAUAAUUCU